UAGGUAAAAACUCGUAGGUUGGAGUGAUUAGCUGUUAACUAAUGAUUUAUGGGAUCGAGGCCCAUUUACCUAG
rnacentral:tRNA from 1 species